UGGCUAAGUUGGCAUAGCAUGGUGCUUUCAAUGCCAAGGUUGUGGGUUUGAGUCCCAC
rnacentral:tRNA from 1 species